GAUGAAGAACGCAGCGAAAUGCGAUACUUGGUGUGAAUUGCAGAAUCCCGUGAACCAUCGAGUCUUUGAACGCAAGUUGCGCCCGAAGCCAUUAGGCCGAGGGCACGCCUGCCUGGGCGUCACACGUCGUUGCCCCCCCAUCUACUCCUUCGGGAUUGCGGGGGGCGGAUGAUGGCCUCCCGUGCGCCUCGCCGCGCGGUUGGCAUAAAUGCCAAGUCCUCGGCGACGCACGCCACGACAAUCGGUGGUUGCGAAACCUCGGUUGCCCGUCGUGUGCGGUCGUCGCGCAUCGAGGGCUCGAAAAAAUUGCCGGGUUCCGGCUCGGCUUUCAACGCGACCCCAGGUCAGGCAGGGUUACCCGCUGAAUUUAAGCAUAUCAAUAAGCGGAGGA
rnacentral:misc_RNA from 1 species